GCUCAAGCGUACCGCCGAAGUCGUGUCAUUCACACAAUAGGGCCAACGCCUGUGUGGAUGGGUAGGGGAGCGUCGUGUGCCGGGUGAAGCAGCCGUGUAAGCGAGUUGUGGACGGUUCACGAGUGAGAAUGCAGGCAUGAGUAGCGAUACACACGUGAGAAACGUGUGCGCCGAUUGACUAAGGGUUCCUGGGUCAAGCUGAUCUGCCCAGGGUAAGUCGGGACCUAAGGCGAGGCCGACAGGCGUAGUCGAUGGAUAACCGGUUGAUAUUCCGGUACCCGCUGUGAAGCGUCAAACAUCGAGCAUCGUGAUGCUAAGGCCGUGAAGCCGUUCCGGACCCUUCGGGGAAAGGAAAGUGGUGGAGCCGCCGGACCAAGCGGUUAGUAGGUGAGUGAUGGGGUGACGCAGGAAGGUAGUCCAGCCCGGGCGGUGGUUGUCCCGGGGUAAGGGUGUAGCCCGUCAUCCAGGUAAAUCCGGAUGGCAUGUGGGUGAGACCUGAUGCCGAGCCGAUUGUGGUGAAGUGGAUGAUCCUAUGCUGUCGAGAAAAGCCUCUAGCGAGUUUCAUGGCGGCCCGUACCCUAAACCGACUCAGGUGGUCAGGUAGAGAAUACCGAGGCGUUCGGGUGAACUAUGGUUAAGGAACUCGGCAAAAUGCCCCCGUAACUUCGGGAGAAGGGGGGCCAUUCUUGGUGAUCCGUUUUACACGGUGAGCUGGGGGUGGCCGCAGAGACCAGCGAGAAGCGACUGUUUACUAAAAACACAGGUCCGUGCGAAGCCGUAAGGCGAUG
rnacentral:ncRNA from 1 species